rnacentral:rRNA from 1 species
GUCUAUGCUCAUACCAUCCAGAAUGCACCCAAUCUCAUUUGAUCUCAGAAACUAAGCAGGGUCAGGUCUUGGUUAAUACUUGGAUAGGAGUACAAGGCAAAAAUAUCCA